UACGUAGGUGGCAAGCGUUGUCCGGAUUUACUGGGCGUAAAGAGCGCGCAGGCGGUCGUUCAAGUCGCGUGUGAAAGCCCCCGGCUCAACUGGGGAGGGUCACGCGAUACUGAUCGACUGGAAGGCAGGAGAGGGUAGUGGAAUUCCCGGUGUAGUGGUGAAAUGCGUAGAUAUCGGGAGGAACACCAGUGGCGAAGGCGGGACUCUGGGCCGAUACUGACGCUGAGGAGCGAAAGCGUGGGGAGCGAACAGG
rnacentral:rRNA from 1 species